UCCUCUUUCUCAUUUUCCUGCCGCCGCCUCCUCCUCCUCUCCUCUGCCCGAAUUCUCCUACCUCCGUCAUCGCCGCCGCCGCCGCCGUCGACCUAGACGUCACCUGCUGAGACCGCUGUGGUAUGGAUAAGGAGACGAGAGGAAGAGGACAUCCUUAAGUGGUGGAUCUGACGGUUACCGGAAUCCCUCAACGCCGGAGGAAGGCGUGCGACCGGCAAAGAAACCCGGUGAUGGAGCAGGAUGAGGUGGCAGUUCAAGUUCGGCUGCCUUCGCGUGUUGUGGUUGCGGGCGCUCCACUUCCUUUCCCACCUGCCCUGGUGAGUCGUCCUUGAUCUAAAUAUUUAAUCCCCGCACUGAUUUGUUUUUGUUAUACAGUAUGGGGGUCUGCAGAUUAUCCUUCCAAGGAGGCCACAAAGAGCAGCGAUGGCUUCUUGGUAAUCUGCGAUUGGCCACAAAGGAUGAGGUACAUGGAGAUUGCCAGCUACCUUCCGUUGGGUGUAUAUGCACGCUACAGAGAAAACCAAAUCUGCACCAUGCCGAUAUGCUUCAUGAUGAGUGUGCUUUUAGCAUCCCUCACCCUCUCAGCCUUGCAGAUGGCCAUUAGGUGCCGACCAAGAGGUGUACCCCAUGAAUCAAACUGCGAGGGGGCAUACAAUAAUUAGGAGGGCAUGGCUAUCGCUGCGGAGCUACCCUCCCCCUCAAUCAUGCACUUGUGCUUUCCAAACGCAGUUCGCUGCUGCUGUUUAAUUAGCUCCUGCAUUAGCAGUGGAUUCAGAGUUUAUUCUUCAGCAGAUUCAAUUUGCAGGAGACUCCUGUUGCAGUUUGGUGACAUAGACUGAAUCUGCUCGGCAAAGUGUAAAAAGGCAAUUACUGCUCGGCAAAGUGUAAAAAAGGCCAGGCUAUCAUUUAUGUAGUUAUUUGGAAUGCCAAGUUAGGAAUUAGAUCCAAGAAAUAAGAUGAGAAGAGGAAUCUAGCAAAGGAAGGUGAAUAUUUUCUCUUGUGAAUACAACAAGAUUAUUGAAGAUUUUUGCUGCCAUGGAAUUGUGAGUUUGUGACUAUACAUUCUUGUGUCCUACAUGUGAAUUGAAGAUAUAUUGUCUCUGUAUGUGAAUGUAAAUAUCCAGGUAAAUGUGAUGAUUCAUAAAUUAGCCAGUUGGAGAUCGGUAGACAGUCAGGUGUAUUGAUAACUGGAGUUUAGUGCUCAAAAUCCUUCAAACUUUUCCACAGGCUGUAUUUUCUUGACAUUUAAGAGAAGAAUGAGUACUGUUAGUCAUUAUCUAUCAUGUAUAAUAGUACAAUAUUGGAGAUGUGAAUGGAAAUGUUCAUUUA